CUACGGGAGGCUGCAGUGAGGAAUAUUGCACAAUGGGGGGAACCCUGAUGCAGCAACGCCGCGUGGAGGAUGACGCAUUUCGGUGUGUAAACUCCUUUUAUAUGUCAAGAAAAUGACGGUAGCAUAUGAAUAAGCACCGGCUAACUCCGUGCCAGCAGCCGCGGUAAUACGGAGGGUGCAAGCGUUACUCGGAAUCACUGGGCGUAAAGGGCGCGUAGGCGGGUUGGAAAGUCAGGUGUGAAAUCCUACAGCUUAACUGUAGAACUGCACUUGAAACUUCUAAUCUAGAGUAUGGGAGGGGGAGAUGGAAUUAGUGGUGUAGGGGUAAAAUCCGUAGAUAUCACUAGGAAUACCUAAAGCGAAGGCGAUCUACUGGAACAUUACUGACGCUAAGGCGUGAAAGCGUGGGGAGCAAACAGGAUUAGAUACCCCGGUAGUC
rnacentral:rRNA from 1 species